GCCGACGACGGGUAGCUGGUCUGAGAGGACGAUCAGCCGGAUUGGGACUGAGAUACGGCCCAGACUCCUACGGGGGGCAGCAAUUAGGAAUCUUGCGCAAUGGGCGAAAGCCUGACGCAGCGACGCCGCGUGAGUGAUGAAGGCCUUCGGGUUGUAAAGCUCUGUGGAGGGGGACGAAUAAGUCGUGGCUAACAUCCACGAUGAUGACGGUACCUCUUUAGCAAGCACCGGCUAACUCUGUGCCAGCAGCCGCGGUAAGACAGAGGGUGCAAACGUUGUUCGGAAUUACUGGGCGUAAAGCGCGUGUAGGCUGCCCCGCAAGUCGGAUGUGAAAGCCCUGGGCUCAACCUAGGAAGUGCAUUCGAAACUGCGGGGCUGGAGUCCUGGAGAGGAUAGCGGAAUUCUCGGUGUAGAGGUGAAAUUCGUAGAUAUCGAGAGGAACACCGGUGGCGAAGGCGGCUAUCUGGACAGUGACUGACGCUGAGACGCGAAAGCGUGGGGAGCAAACAGGAUUAGAUACCCUGGUAGUCCACGCCGUAAACGAUGGGUGCUAGGUGUCAGGGGCUUUGACCCCUCUGGUGCCGAAGCUAACGCAUUAAGCACCCCGCCUGGGGAGUACGGCCGCAAGGCUAAAACUCAAAGGAAUUGACGA
rnacentral:rRNA from 1 species